rnacentral:misc_RNA from 1 species
UUAGGGAGACCUACCCAACUUUGGUAUCGAAGGCAAAUAGCUUCUAGAUGCAAAGAUGGUCUACUCUAGGUCGGUCGAGAAUUGGAAAAAGCUUUCAAAGUACCAUCUGUUCGGUUUUUUCAACUGAAGAUUAGAUAAUAAAGAUUGAGGAAAAAUUCAGCAACAAGACUCAUAUGGGUCAGACUGCUGGAUGAUACCAGCCAGAACCUUGAAAACUGCAUAGUAACGCGAUUAUAGCAGGCAGACACAGACAUUAGUGAUAAUAGUAGUGUUUGCGCAAAGCAACCAAAUGUAAUGU